AUUGAACGCUGGCGGCAUGCUUUACACAUGCAAGUCGAACGGCAGCGCGGGGCAACCUGGCGGCGAGUGGCGAACGGGUGAGUAAUAUAUCGGAACGUACCCAGAAGUGGGGGAUAACGUAGCGAAAGUUACGCUAAUACCGCAUACGAUCUACGGAUGAAAGUGGGGGACCUUCGGGCCUCAUGCUUGUGGAGCGGCCGAUAUCUGAUUAGCUAGUUGGUAGGGUAAAGGCCUACCAAGGCAACGAUCAGUAGCUGGUCUGAGAGGACGACCAGCCACACUGGGACUGAGACACGGCCCAGACUCCUACGGGAGGCAGCAGUGGGGAAUUUUGGACAAUGGGCGCAAGCCUGAUCCAGCAAUGCCGCGUGAGUGAAGAAGGCCUUCGGGUUGUAAAGCUCUUUUGUCAGGGAAGAAACGGCUCGGGCUAAUAUCCUGGGCUAAUGACGGUACCUGAAGAAUAAGUACCGGCUAACUACGUGCCAGCCGCCGCCGUAAAAC
rnacentral:rRNA from 1 species